rnacentral:rRNA from 1 species
GACGGACGCUGGCGGCGUGCCUAAUACAUGCAAGUUGAGCGCUGAAGGUUGGUACUUGUACCAACUGGAUGAGCAGCGAACGGGUGAGUAACGCGUGGGGAAUCUGCCUUUGAGCGGGGGACAACAUUUGGAAACGAAUGCUAAUACCGCAUAAAAACUUUAAACACAAGUUUUAAGUUUGAAAGAUGCAAUUGCAUCACUCAAAGAUGAUCCCGCGUUGUAUUAGCUAGUUGGUGAGGUAAAGGCUCACCAAGGCGAUGAUACAUAGCCGACCUGAGAGGGUGAUCGGCCACAAUGGGACUGAGACACGGCCCAAACUCCUACGGGAGGCAGCAGUAGGGAAUCUUCGGCAAUGGACGAAAGUCUGACCGAGCAACGCCGCGUGAGUGAAGAAGGUUUUCGGAUCGUAAAACUCUGUUGGUAGAGAAGAACGUUGGUGAGAGUGGAAAGCUCAUCAAGUGACGGUAACUACCCAGAAAGGGACGGCUAACUACGUG